GACGAACGCUGGCGGCGUGCUUAACACAUGCAAGUCGAACGGAAAGGCCCUGCUUUUGUGGGGUGCUCGAGUGGCGAACGGGUGAGUAACACGUGAGUAACCUGCCCUUGACUUUGGGAUAACUUCAGGAAACUGGGGCUAAUACCGGAUAGGAGCUCCUGCUGCAUGGUGGGGGUUGGAAAGUUUCGGCGGUUGGGGAUGGACUCGCGGCUUAUCAGCUUGUUGGUGGGGUAGUGGCUUACCAAGGCUUUGACGGGUAGCCGGCCUGAGAGGGUGACCGGCCACAUUGGGACUGGGAUACGGCCCAGACUCCUACGGGAGGCAGCAGUGGGGAAUAUUGCACAAUGGGCGGAAGCCUGAUGCAGCAACGCCGCGUGCGGGAUGACGGCCUUCGGGUUGUAAACCGCUUUCGCCUGUGACGAAGCGUGCGUGACGGUAAUGGGUAAAGAAGCACCGGCUAACUACGUG
rnacentral:rRNA from 1 species